UAGUGCGAGGUCUUGACGAGCCUGGUGCAAAGGCUUAUGACUUUUCCCCUUUCAAGAUAUUCCUUCUUUAGCAGCUGAAGCUGCAAAGGAGCAUCCAAGAGUAUCGUAUGUUAUUACCGCACCUCUUGACCUUCUUGAAUUACUUAUUGAUUUUGUGAAUGAUAGGAUCAAGCAUUGCUGCUACACAGAGAAUAGCCACGGAGCUUGUACACUGUUUCCAGACCCCCAGAAAUGCCUCAAUGCUAGUUCUCCUUAUUUUCUCCUGGUCACAAAUCAAACUGUUGAGAUGCAUGAUGCUAAACUCUUUAACAAGGUAUUUUGUCAACUACAGCAUUGCAAAAUUUCAACACCUUUUUGUCGAUACCAACUUUUGGGGAAAAAAAAUGUAAAUAUCUAAAUAACAUGCAUAUACGCGUACAGGCAUCGUCAAUGUAAUGUUAAAAAUUGUACAUCUCUACAUAUAAGCAGUUUUUACUAAUUAUUGUCUAUUAGUAACUCUUACAAUGGGUACCACAUAAUAAAUAUUGGAUUCAUGUGCGCACGAGCAUCGCCCAUCUAGUCUAAUAUACUAUAAAAAAGGUCUACACGGAUAUAGCAGUCUUUUUAGCCAGUCAUUAUCAAGCUACUAUUAUACA